rnacentral:lncRNA from 1 species
UGUACCCAAGUCCCCGUGGGCUUCGACUGCUUGAGGCAGCAGAACAUUAAUUUUUUUUUUCUGCUGAGGUUACCUGGUACAAGCCAGUACUACCCAAGCAAAUGUCUGCAUGGAAUGAAAUGGAAUUAACAGAGGCCAAGUGCUGAGGAGCAUUAACACACUGAACUGCUGGGAAACACCAGCACAUCCAUUGAAGAGUGUGAGCUUUUCUCACUUUGUGCUCAGUGAAAUAUCAGUUUCCUUCCAGACACUAUUAAGUUCCAAGCAGAGGAAGUACAGAGAAAUACAACCAGCUGGCUUCUGUGAGAAGAAGUGGCUGUGCCUAACUUUGGUUACCUCUCUGUAUUCAGAGGGCAAUCAUAGCUCCUCUCUGCUUUCAUCUUAGAGACAAACUGUUCUUUCAUUCUUCUCCUGCAAGACAGUUCAAUUCUCCUGCUCGUCCCAGUAAUGCACCUCUCCAUAUCUGUUUCUAUCCAAUUUCAACUUCCUGGAGCACAAUUGACCAGACUCACUGGUUUUUUGUCCCAUGUGAAGUUCAUUAAAUAGAUUGGCCUGAAACUUCUUUUACAGAUCUACAAAAGGUAAGGAUAAGGAAU